rnacentral:lncRNA from 1 species
UGGAGUUUGAAUGAAUAUAUCACACCACACUGGGGACAGUGGUGUUGAUUCCAAGAGGUCCAGUGAUUGUGAACAGGACCACACCAGAAGAGUCCAAAGAAAACAAAGUUUCAGAAGCAGAAGGGUGCGACAACAUCUCGGAGCGCCCAGUGAGGUUGGGGAGGCUGUGGGCGCACAUCAGAGCACAGGCUAUUCCUGGGGACCUUUGACAUCAAAGGCAGUUGAGACCUGAACAAGUCUGACGAUGAGCCCUGAGCUAACAUCCACCACCAAGCCUCCUCUUUUUGCUGAGGAAGACUGGACCUGAGCUAACAUCCAUGCCUAUCUUCCUCCACUUUAUAUGUGGGAUGCUCCCACAGCAUGGCAUGCCAAGCAAUGCAUAGGUCCACACCUGGGAUCCAGACCCGUGAACCCCAGGCCUCCAAAGUGGAACAUGCCAACUUAACUGCUGUGCCACCAGGCUGGCCCCAAGGAGCUCUUUCAUGGAGGAAGGUCCUACAGAAGGUGAAAGGGGAUAGUCCGACAGCAGAGCGAGCAGGUUACCUUAGGUGAGGAAGACAAGCCAAAAUCCUGAGGACCCGUGGCCGAGUGGUUAAGUUUUCACGCUCCACUUUGGCAGCCCAGAGUUCACUCGUUUGGAUCCUGGGCAUGGACCUACAAACUGCUCAUGGGGCCAUGCCGUGGAGGCAUCCCAUAUAGAAGAACCAGAAGGACCGACAACUGGGAUGUACGACUAUGUCCUGGGGGUGGAUUAUUCAUCCUGGGGAGGGUAUAGGUUCUUUGAGAUCAUUGGAGCCUUUUGUUUUUAAAUUAACUUAAUCAGGGCACUAAUGCAAAGCCCCUUUUCAAUCCAAAGGUUAAUUAAUCAAAAACAAAAGUGAG